AUGAACGCUAGCGGCAGGCUUAACACAUGCAAGUCGAGGGGCAGCAUAAUGGAUAGCAAUAUCUAUGGUGGCGACCGGCGCACGGGUGCGUAACGCGUAUGCAACCUACCUUUAACAGGGGGAUAACACUGAGAAAUUGGUACUAAUACCCCAUAAUAUCAUAGAAGGCAUCUUUUAUGGUUGAAAAUUCCGAUGGUUAGAGAUGGGCAUGCGUUGUAUUAGCUAGUUGGUGGGGUAACGGCUCACCAAGGCGACGAUACAUAGGGGGACUGAGAGGUUAACCCCCCACACUGGUACUGAGACACGGACCAGACUCCUACGGGAGGCAGCAGUGGGGAAUAUUGGGCAAUGGGGGAAACCCUGACCCAGCAACGCCGCGUGGAGGAAGAAGGUUUUCGGAUCGUAAACUCCUGUCCUUGGAGACGAGUAGAAGACGGUAUCCAAGGAGGAAGCCCCGGCUAACUACGUGCCAGCAGCCGCGGUAAUACGGAGGAUUCAAGCGUUAUCCGGAUUUAUUGGGUUUAAAGGGUGCGUAGGCGGUUUGAUAAGUUAGAGGUGAAAUUUCGGGGCUCAACCCUGAACGUGCCUCUAAUACUGUUGAGCUAGAGAGUAGUUGCGGUAGGCGGAAUGUAUGGUGUAGCGGUGAAAUGCUUAGAGAUCAUACAGAACACCGAUUGCGAAGGCAGCUUACCAAACUAUAUCUGACGUUGAGGCACGAAAGCGUGGGGAGCAAACAGGAUUAGAUACCCUGGUAGUCCACGCAGUAAACGAUGAUAACUCGUUGUCGGCGAUACACAGUCGGUGACUAAGCGAAAGCGAUAAGUUAUCCACCUGGGGAGUACGUUCGCAAGAAUGAAACUCAAAGGAAUUGACGGGGGCCCGCACAAGCGGAGGAACAUGUGGUUUAAUUCGAUGAUACGCGAGGAACCUUACCCGGGCUUGAAAGUUAGCGACGAUUCUUGAAAGAGGAUUUCCCUUCGGGGCGCGAAACUAGGUGCUGCAUGGUUGUCGUCAGCUCGUGCCGUGAGGUGUCGGGUUAAGUCCCAUAACGAGCGCAACCCCUACCGUUAGUUGCCAUCAGGUGAAGCUGGGCACUCUGGCGGGACUGCCGGUGUAAGCCGAGAGGAAGGUGGGGAUGACGUCAAAUCAGCACGGCCCUUACGUCCGGGGCUACACACGUGUUACAAUGGUAGGUACAGAGGGCAGCUACCCAGCGAUGGGAUGCGAAUCUCGAAAGCCUAUCUCAGUUCGGAUUGGAGGCUGAAACCCGCCUCCAUGAAGUUGGAUUCGCUAGUAAUCGCGCAUCAGCCAUGGCGCGGUGAAUACGUUCCCGGGCCUUGUACACACCGCCCGUCAAGCCAUGGGAGCCGGGGGUGCCUGAAGUUCGUGACCGCAAGGAGCGACCUAGGGCAAAACUGGUGACUGGGGCU
rnacentral:rRNA from 1 species